rnacentral:rRNA from 1 species
GUUUCGGCUGUCACUUACAGAUGGACCCGCGGCGCAUUAGCUAGUUGGUGGGGUAAUGGCUCACCAAGGCGACGAUGCGUAGCCGACCUGAGAGGGUGAUCGGCCACACUGGGACUGAGACACGGCCCAGACUCCUACGGGAGGCAGCAGUAGGGAAUCUUCCGCAAUGGACGAAAGUCUGACGGAGCAACGCCGCGUGAGUGAUGAAGGUUUUCGGAUCGUAAAGCUCUGUUGUUAGGGAAGAACAAGUGCGAGAGUAACUGCUCGCACCUUGACGGUACCUAACCAGAAAGCCACGGCUAACUACGUGCCAGCAGCCGCGGUAAUACGUAGGUGGCAAGCGUUGUCCGGAAUUAUUGGGCGUAAAGGGCUCGCAGGCGGUUUCUUAAGUCUGAUGUGAAGCCCCCGGCUCAACCGGGGAGGGUCAUUGGAAACUGGGAAACUUGAGUGCAGAAGAGGAGAGUGGAAUUCACGUGUAGCGGUGAAAUGCGUAGAGAUGUGGAGGAACACCAGUGGCGAAGGCGACUCUCUGGUCUGUAACUGACGCUGAGGAGCGAAAGCGUGGGGAGCGAACAGGAUUAGAUACCCUGGUAGUCCACGCCGUAAACGAUGAGUGCUAAGUGUUAGGGGGUUUCCGCCCCUUAGUGCUGCAGCUAACGCAUUAAGCACUCCGCCUGGGGAGUACGGUCGCAAGACGAAACUCAAAGGAAUUGACGGGGGCCCGCACAAGCGGUGGAGCAUGUGGUUUAAUUCGAAGCAACGCGAAGAACCUUACCAGGUCUUGACAUCCUCUGACAACCCUAGAGAUAGGGCUUUCCCUUCGGGGACAGAGUGACAGGUGGUGCAUGGUUGUCGUCAGCUCGUGUCGUGAGAUGUUGGGUUAAGUCCCGCAACGAGCGCAACCCUUGAUCUUAGUUGCCAGCAUUAGUUGGGCACUCUAAGGUGACUGCCGGUGACAAACCGGAGGAAGGUGGGGAUGACGUCAAAUCAUCAUGCCCCUUAUGACCUGGGCUACACACGUGCUACAAUGGACAGAACAAAGGGCUGCAAGACCGCAAGGUUUAGCCAAUCCCAUAAAUCUGUUCUCAGUUCGGAUCGCAGUCUGCAACUCGACUGCGUGAAGCUGGAAUCGCUA